AACCUAUGGUGAGGGCACCUUCUCAAAAGGUCCUUGUAUCUCUCCCAUGCAUCGUAGAAUCCAUCUGUACAAAAGAAGAGAUAUCAUUACGUAAUUU
rnacentral:snoRNA from 1 species